UGCAGCACACCCAGCGCCGCGCGCAGGCAUUUUCCUCCAAAAAACGGGCUUCCCUGUUUCCAGUUCUUCUCCCGCGCGCCUCCCUUGAAUCGGCAAACCCCGCCCUAAGCCGGCGCCGUUCGAGCGGUCGUAACCCAUGGGGCAUCUUCGGGCUCCGGAAGCCGCCGGGAACCACGCCGGGUGCGGCCUUCGGCCACCACCGUGCGCAGGGCCGAGUGCGUCCUCCGGCCGCCGCCGUAACGCGCGCCGGCCGCGGCCUCUGGGCGCCGCCGUGAGCAGGGCCGGGUGCGUCCUCCGGGCGCCGCCGUGACUCGCGCCAGCUUAGGGCUGCGACCGCCCCCCCCCCCCCUAAGAUCCCUCCAGCUAGGACGAGGAGGCGACGGCCACCAACAAGGCACGUGCAGUAUUUCUCUUUCUUGACUUGAUUUCUUAAAUCAGAGCAUUUGGGGAGCUUUUGGUUGCUUUGAUUCGUGCAAAGACAUGUGUUGAUGCUGUGAAUUUGAUUGAAUCAACACGAGCACGAAGAAUCGAACCAAUUUCGUUUUGGGGAGAAAAACUACAUUCCUGCUCGUGAUAUGAAAUUCCCGGUGUUUGAGUUCGAAUUGAGACAUGACUCUUUCGGGAUAGCUUACCAACUCCAUGGAGAUCACCUGUGCAUAGUUUGGGAGCGAUUCCUUUUGAUUUGGUCAAAUUUCGGGUGUUUUCCUCUUUAUUUAUCCUGUCGUCCUUCUCUUUGCAGCCUGUUCGGUUGAACUGAAUGGCCGGGCUGGACUACUGUUCCGACUGACUGUAGCGACUUGUUAUUAUAUAUGAUUAACAGACGGCGGGGCAACAUACUAUCGGUACUGUAGCUGCAGUGGUACUGUAGAUACAGUACUCCAGACCAUCCCAUCAAGUGCAACCGAACGGGACGCAGGCUGCGGCAGCGGGUUUCAGGAGGAGCCUCGAAGGGGAGGCGGUGGGGAUCAAGGAGCAGGUGCUCACCAGGCAGCGCUGGAGGAGGCCGCCGCCACCACGAAGACCCUGAACGCAAACGGCGCGUGCCGGCGAGGGAAGCUGCUGUGGUUUCCUGAAACGUUAAGUGCAGGAUGCUCAUCUCUGAAAUCUCAGUUUUGGGUAGCUGACUAUUCUUGCUAUUUCCUGUUUGAGUUGUUAUGGUGCAUAGCUAGAACCAAAUUAUGAAUUGAACAACCGACACUGCCCCAAAUUAUUAUAGAAAUAAUAAUUGUCUUAAUUGAAUGUGUUUUCUGGCAACUGUAGCCCAUCCAGGUCUACCUUUAGUAUUUGAUGACCAUAAAUAUGUGUAUGCAUAUUACCUAAACAUUUCACUGCUACUGAAAAGCUAAACAGCUCGAUAUAUUUCUAUGAUUUAUGCUCAGAGUUCUACAACUCUUGUGUGUGUCUAUACUGAAUAUUCAGAUGCUUCAAUUUCAUAAUGUAUGUUUUUUUUACGAACUUCAUAAUGCAUAAUUGAGAACUGCAUUUAUUUACAGUCGAGGUAGAAGGCCCAAGAGGAUAUGCAGAAAGUGGAAAAGAAACUUGCCUUUUAUUUCAAGUUUAUUUGCUUUCCAUUGUUGUUUUUAUUUUCUUGGGUGCCACUUAAUUCUCAAGGUCAUCCUAUCUCAACCAUCGAAACUUUUUUUGUGUUCUGUUCUUGCAGGUGUUUUGAGUUGUAGGUCCUGUGUCGAGCAGAGGCCCAAAUUAAAUCCACAAAUCUGGUGUGCUAAUUUUGGCAACAGAUUUCAAGAGUUAUUUGUUCUAAUUUCAAAAGUUCCAAAACAAGUUGUGAGAAUUUAACCCAUCUGAAUAAACUUAUUUCAAUUCACAGGCUACAAUUCCAUUUUGUUGGGGAAACAGGAGAUGUAAUCUUUAAGAUAAAAUAAAAAUUCAGAGUUACGUUUGGUUAUAAUCUACUUUCACUAAAUUGAUGUUUCACUUCUCAUUUCUUGCCGUGUACCCUGAUCAGUCGUAACAUGUAUAGUUCUCUGUUCAUCCUGCAUUUGAGUUGAUGUUGCAGAACCUCUGAACAGCUACAGUUUUUUUUUUUUUUUUGCAUUUGGAUGCUUCAGACAAGCAGGCUUCACAACUGAAGUUGAACUUCUUGUCAUUUGAGCAUUCGAAGCCAUUGGAAUUUUUUUUGACAAUGCAAACAACCAAUAUUUGUGGUGGUUCUCCAGACUUAUUGAUCAAAACAAGAGAUGUAAUAUUUAAGAUGAAAAGUAGAUGGCAUGAAGGCUUUGAAGAAAGGAAAAAAAUGCAUAUGUUGCAUGGUCAGGAAUGCAAUAGUGUUCUCUUUUUUCAUUUUUGGUGUAGGCCAUUUAAUUUGCUCUUCAGUUCCUUGAUUCAAAUUUUGAAUAGUUUCAACAUGUCCAACUGAAGAUAUGAGAUUGUAUUAGCCUAUCAUGUCCUAAACUCCCGUGUAUGAUCUGGUUUGAUGAUUCUUGUAAGUUACGGAUAGGUGAUGUUGAUCAUGGUCUGUGUGUUUCACUUAUAGAAAGGGACUAGACUAAUUGACUUACAUUGCAGUUUUGUUUGUCGUAUAGCUUUCAACACAUUUCUGCCA